rnacentral:tRNA from 1 species
GUGUUCAUAACUCAAUGGCAGAGUGAUAGUCUUCGAAACUGUGUGUUGUAAGUUCGAAUCUUACUGAACACU